UACGAAGGGGGCUAGCGUUGCUCGGAAUGACUGGGCGUAAAGGGCGCGUAGGCGGAUGGCUUUGUCGGGCGUGAAAUUCCAGGGCUUAACCUUGGGGCUGCGUUCGAGACGGGUUGUCUUGAGUGGGGAAGAGGGUCGUGGAAUUCCCAGUGUAGAGGUGAAAUGCGCAGAUAUCAGGAGGAACACCAAUGGCGAAAGCAGCUCGCUGGGACGGUACUGACGCUGAGACGCGAAAGCGUGGGGAGCAAACAGG
rnacentral:rRNA from 1 species